rnacentral:lncRNA from 1 species
CCUCCUCCUCCUCUUCCUCCUCCUUCUUUUUCUUCUUCUCCUUCUUCCCUUCUCCUCUUUUCUUUUUCUUCUCUCUCUCUCUCUCUCUCCUUCUCUCUCUACUCCCUUUUCAACUCCCCUUUCCGUGCCCUAAAUAAACUCUAUUCUACACUACAACCUUCGUGUGGCUGGUACCUCAGGGGAAGGGUCUGCUGAUCCACGCCUCCCACACCUCACCAUGCCGUGCUUUUCACAUAUCUUGGUCCCUUUUUAUAAACCAACAGGAUUCCAACCCGGUCAAACGACCUUGUGUUGUGCCUCAUACAGAUGUACAAAUACACAGAUGUACAAAUGUACAGAUUUAAAAUGAUAAAAAUGGUGAAAACCUUCCGGUCUUAAUACGCCCAUCUUCAUUAUAGGCAACAUGGAAAACGCACAGACAACCUAUGCGGGUCAAGGAAAAUCGUCCAGAAUGUCGCCACCUAAGGUAACUCAAAGAGCGCCGAGGCCACUUCCGGGUUCCUGCGUCGCCCGCCCCUUGCGACGUCACGCUGUCCCGAGCUGAGGGGCGGGGUCUGGGGGCGGGGCCUG